rnacentral:rRNA from 1 species
CGGGUCUAAUACUGGAUACGACUCCUCAUCGCAUGGUGGGGGGUGGAAAGGGUUCACUGGUUUUGGAUGGGCUCACGGCCUAUCAGCUUGUUGGUGGGGUAAUGGCUCACCAAGGCGACGACGGGUAGCCGGCCUGAGAGGGUGACCGGCCACACUGGGACUGAGACACGGCCCAGACUCCUACGGGAGGCAGCAGUGGGGAAUAUUGCACAAUGGGCGAAAGCCUGAUGCAGCGACGCCGCGUGAGGGAUGACGGCCUUCGGGUUGUAAACCUCUUUCAGUAGGGAAGAAGCGCAAGUGACGGUACCUGCAGAAGAAGCGCCGGCUAACUACGUGCCAGCAGCCGCGGUAAUACGUAGGGCGCAAGCGUUGUCCGGAAUUAUUGGGCGUAAAGAGCUCGUAGGCGGUUUGUCGCGUCCGCUGUGAAAGCCCGGGGCUCAACCCCGGGUCGGCAGUGGGUACGGGCAGACUAGAGUGCAGUAGGGGAGACUGGAAUUCCUGGUGUAGCGGUGAAAUGCGCAGAUAUCAGGAGGAACACCGAUGGC